CACACAUCUCCUGUAGGUUCACUAUAAUGAUGGACUGUGUCUUGACCCUCCUAACACACAUCUCCUGUAGGUUCACUAUAAUGAUGGACUGUGUCUUGACCCUCCUAACACACAUCUCCUGUAGGUUCACUAUAAUGAUGGACUGUGUCUUGACCCUCCUAACACACAUCUCCUGUAGGUUCACUAUAAUGAUGGACUGUGUCUUGACCCCCCUAACACACAUCUCCUGUAGGUUCACUAUAAUGGACUGUCUGUAUCUUGACCCUCCUAACACACAUCUCCUGUAGGUUCACUAUAAUGAUGGACUGUGUCUUGACCCCCCUAACACACAUCUCCUGUAGGUUCACUAUAAUGAUGGACUGUGUCUUGACCCCCCUAACACACAUCUCCUGUAGGUUCACUAUAAUGAUGGACUGUGUCUUGACCCCCCUAACACACAUCUCCUGUAGGUUCACUAUAAUGAUGGACUGUGUCUUGACCCUCCUAACACACAUCUCCUGUAGGUUCACUAUAAUGAUGGACUGUGUCUUGACCCUCCUAACACACAUCUCCUGUAGGUUCACUAUAAUGAU